AUACUUACCUGGACAACACCAAUAAGUGAUCAAGAAGGCUUAUGGUGUAGGGCAAUGACCUUCAUUGCACUUGGGAGGGGUGUUGCUCUAAGGUCUGCCCAAGUGGUAGAGCCUAUGUCAUAAUUUGUGGCAGAGGGGGCCUGCGUUCGCGCAGCCCCUAU
rfam:Phaseolus vulgaris cultivar G19833 chromosome 6, whole genome shotgun sequence.